CACAAAAGGGAGGAAACAAUACAAAAGACACUAACACCUAACUAGAAUUACUAAAGAAAGACUAACCAAACCUAAAGAGACCAAAUAAGAAUUAGUAACACUACGGGGAAAGCUAGAAGGACUAAAGAAAUAACCUAACUAGAAUUACUAAAGGAAGAUAUACAUAGACCCGGACAUGGAAGAAUAACUGAUCCUGGGGUGAUGAAAUUAAGAAAUAAACAUUACUAGAAACAUUGCACGGAGCCUGAAAUAAGAAAUAACUAGAAGGAUAAAAUAGAAUUAAACUAUAGUCAUAAAAGAAGGCUUGACAUGGACUCUAACAAAAAAGGACAGAACUUAAGGUAACUAAAGAAUAAACCUAGAAGCACAUGUAACCUGUAAUUAGUAAAGGACUUUAAUUUUUGCGGGCCCACUUCCUGUAUUGCCCCAAACUCUGCUAGCUUAUUUAAAGUCCCGCCUCCAGCGCGCAUUAAAAGAUCCUCACCAGUUUCCACUGUGAUUGUGGCUUGCUGUUGGUGUCUUCCUCAGGAAUUCCUCCAAAAAUCUUUAAACCUAUUGAUUCGAUUGCUGGGUGAGUUUGUUAUUUGAUAACAAUAUUACUUUUACAUUUGGAACUUCUGCUUGAUUGCUCAUUGGAGCGUUGUUUUAUUAGAAUCAUUGGCGCUGUUUACCUGGACCGUCACCGGGAUUCUGUCAGUGCUGAUUGUGGCUCAGUACGCCCCACUCUCUUCUAGAAGGUCAGGUUUUUUUUCCCCCCUGUCGGAUCAGAUCCUCAUCUGGAUCGAAAGAUGGCGAGCUAGGAAUGGACUAUGGACUUUAUGAUUUGGAAAUCAAUUUAUUCUGAGUCAAUUUUCAUGUGUCUCAUCGUGUUGCUGUAAUUGUAUGUUUUUUAUUCAAAUCACUUAAUAUAUAUUCACCAAAACUAAAAGCACUGCCUCCUGUUUUUUUCACAUCUCAGGCUCCUUAAAGGACACUCUUCUGAUGCUGCUUUUGUAGCCGCAGUUAGCUGCUUAGCCCAUAACUGUUACACACAAUAAAGGACUGAAAAUAAGGAAAGCAAUUAGAGAAUUCUUAUUUCACUAAAUACCUAAAAUAAUAAUAAUAAUAUCAAAAGGACCAGGAAGGGCUAAACUAAAGUGAACUAAAACAUGAAGCUAAAUAAAAUGAGAAGCAAAACAAACCCAAAAAACACAGAGUCCUGACAAGAGAACUUGCACAAUUGGUGGCUAACUAAUUAUUUUUUCCCCACUGUACAUCAACAGCAAAAUAAGGUAAUUUUUAUUUUUAGCCUUUAAUGUCAUUAAUACGUUAAAGACAAAUGCUUUCAAUGCUUAGCUGGGAAACCACUGCACAGAAAAUUACAUAGAAGGUGUGAUGGCCAAACCCAUGGCCUCAUUCUUAAGUCAGUAAGACUUAAGAGUGCACAAUUUAUUUCUUUAUUUAUUUUUGGGUGUUUAGUUUAGCCAAACUUAGCUGCACUGUAAUUUUUUGUUGGUGAUUGUAUUCUGUUUAGUUACCCCUGUUGUGUCUUCAUGGUCUGAUCAGCCAGUAUAUAUACCCCUGUGUCUCAUUUCUUUGUUAGGUCAGUUGUUUUGCAACCAGUUUGUUUGCAUGUUUGCCUGAGUUCAGUGUUGGAAGGAUUUUAUAGUUAUCAUUUAUUUGCUUUACCUUUAUUUUAUAAUAUCAUCCAUUUUAUUUACCUUUGCAUUUACAUUUUAAUGAUGUGCUUCGAGUGUUUUGAAGUGUUUGGAGAAACUCUGGAAGCGGCCUGCUGAGGAGUGAAAAAGGGGGAUACCAUGAAUGAGACAUUCUGGCGUUGAUUGCCCAGUGGAACUGCAAACCUAUACUCUUAUCUUAUGAAAUAUGCUUUUGAUGAUUGUAUGAAUGAGUUGUGUUCAUGUGAGUGUGAAGCCGUUUUCUGCUCCCCCUCCCUUCAGGGCUGCACACUGUCAUGUAACUAGGGUGUUCCUAAUUCUAAGAAAAGCAGGGUAAGACUCAGUUGAAGCUUCAGAGCAUAGGCCGAAAUCUGUAACUGGGUUUCAGCUGUGUUCUCCCUGCAGGUAAAACU